rnacentral:rRNA from 1 species
CAGUAGCCGCGGGAAAACGAGGGGUGCAAGCGUUAUUCGGAUUGAUUGGGUAUAAAGGGUGUGCAGACGGCUUAUUAAGUCACUUGUUAAAUUCUUCGGCCUAACUGAAGGUCUGCAAGUGAUACUGAUGAGCUAGAGGGUGGAAGAGAGAAGUAGAAUUCUCGGAGUAGCGGUAAAAUGCGUAGAUCUCGAGAGGAACACCAAUGGCGAAGGCAGCUUCUUGGUCCAUUCCUGACGUUCAUACACGAAAGCGUGGGGAGCAAACAGGAUUAGAUACCCCAGUAGUCCCUGUCUCUUAUAC